rnacentral:rRNA from 1 species
UACGUAGGGGGCUAGCGUUGUCCGGAAUCAUUGGGCGUAAAGCGCGCGUAGGCGGCCCGGUAAGUCCGCUGUAAAAGUCCAGGGCUCAACCCUGGAACGCCGGUGGAUACUGUCGGGCUAGAGUCCGGAAGAGGCGAGUGGAAUUCCUGGUGUAGCAGUGAAAUGCGUAGAUAUCAGGAGGAACACCGGUGGCGAAGGCGGAUCUCUGGGCCUUACCUGACGCUCAGGCGCGAAAGCUAGGGGAGCGAACAGG